rnacentral:misc_RNA from 1 species
GAUGAAGAACGUAGCGAAAUGCGAUAAGUAGUGUGAAUUGCAGAAUUCAGUGAAUCAUCGAAUCUUUGAACGCACAUUGCGCCCUUUGGUAUUCCUUAGGGCAUGCCUGUUCGAGCGUCAUUUGAAACCUCAAGCUCAGCUUGGUGUUGGGUGUCUGUCCCCGCCUCCGCGGGGACUCGCCUCAAAAUCAUUGGCGGCCGGUACGUUGGCUUCGAGCGCAGCAGAAACGCGAACUCGAGGCCCGGCGGAUCGGCGACCAGAAGUCUCUUCUUCACAGUUUGACCUCGAAUCAGGUAGGGAUACCCGCUGAACUUAAGCAUAUCAAUAAGCGGAGGA